CUUCAAGCUCAAAUAAUUUUUGAGAUUUGAAAACUAUAUAGAAAUUCAAACCCUGCCAUUAUAAUUCCAGCCUUAUAUUCCAGAAAGACAUUGCUUGUCUAAGUCAUAUUUCAUUCAACAAUAAAUUAGUUCAAGCAUUAUCUUUUAAUUAGACAGUUAAGUGAAAGAUAAAUAGUUGUGAUCUAUACCUCAAUAUCUUAAGAAUUAACUCUUGGACUGUAAUAAGAAAUAUAGCCCAAUACCCCUCUGCCAUAAUUGACAUAGCCCAACAUCACAUAGUCACGUGAGAGAAAUGUGACAGCUUAAGUUUGGACGGUUUUGACCACGUGCUUGGCGCAUGGGUGAGAUAAGCAUACCGGGAGAGAAUCUCGGAGGAGGCUCUCUUGUCAUGACCCGUAAAGGAGUGGAGUCUAGUGACCCAUAUCCGAGAUGGACUCGGAGGCCAUUACGCUUUUGACUAGGUCCCCACAGGAUAAACACGUGGUCCUGACCAAGUCUCAAGCGGGUAAGCGGGAAAGGACGGAAUCAUGGAUAAAAGCCACAUGCCCUGAGUCCUGGAAGGGCGGAAUCUAGCACUAGCAUAUAGCUGUUGUCCUUUUGUAUCA
rnacentral:lncRNA from 1 species